rnacentral:rRNA from 1 species
CUAAGAAUCUUGCGCAAUGGGCGAAAGCCUGACGCAGCAACGCCGCGUGGGUGAUGAAGGCCUUCGGGUUGUAAAACCCUUUUGCCGGGGAAGAAAUUCUGACGGUACCCGGCGAAUAAGCCACGGCUAACUACGUG